GGCGGACGGGUGAGUAACACGUGGGCAACCUACCUUAUAGUUUGGGAUAACUCCGGGAAACCGGGGCUAAUACCGAAUAAUCUGUUCCACCUCAUGGUGGAACACUGAAAGACGGUUUCGGCUGUCGCUAUAAGAUGGGCCCGCGGCGCAUUAGCUAGUUGGUGAGGUAACGGCUCACCAAGGCGACGAUGCGUACCCGACCUGAGAGGGUGAUCGGCCACACUGGGACUGAGACACGGCCCAGACUCCUACGGGAGGCAGCAAUAGGGAAUCUUCCACAAUGGGCGAAAGCCUGAUGGAACAACGCCGCGUGAGUGAAGAAGGUUUUCGGAUCGUAAAACUCUGUUGUAAGGGAAGAACAAGUACAGUAGUAACUGGCUGUACCUUGACGGUACCUUAUUAAAAAGCCACGGCUAACUACGUGCCAGCAGCCGCGGUAAUACGUAGGUGGCAAGCGUUGUCCGGAAUUAUUGGGCGUAAAGCGCGCGCAGGCGGUCCUUUAAGUCUGAUGUGAAA
rnacentral:rRNA from 1 species